UACGGAGGGUGCAAGCGUUGUCCGGAAUCACUGGGCGUAAAGGGCGCGUAGGCGGCUCAUGAAGGCUGUGGUGAAAGUCCGGGGCUCAACCUCGGAUCGGCCGUGGCGACUCGUGGGCUGGAGCACUGUAGAGGCGGGUGGAAUUCCGGGUGUAGCGGUGGAAUGCGUAGAGAUCCGGAAGAACACCAGUGGCGAAGGCGGCCCACUGGGCAGUGGCUGACGCUGAGGCGCGACAGCGUGGGGAGCAAACAGG
rnacentral:rRNA from 1 species